AAAAGGUGGCUAUACUACCGCUUUUGGAUGGGCCCGCGGCGCAUUAGCUAGUUGGUAGGGUAAAGGCUUACCAAGGCAAUGAUGCGUAGCCGAACUGAGAGGUUGAUCGGCCACAUUGGGACUGAGACACGGCCCAAACUCCUACGGGAGGCAGCAGUAGGGAAUCUUCCACAAUGGGCGAAAGCCUGAUGGAGCAACGCCGCGUGGGUGAAGAAGGUCUUCGGAUCGUAAAACCCUGUUGUUAGAGAAGAAAGUGCGUGAGAGUAACUGUUCACGUUUCGACGGUAUCUAACCAGAAAGCCACGGCUAACUACGUGCCAGCAGCCGCGGUAAUACGUAGGUGGCAAGCGUUAUCCGGAUUUAUUGGGCGUAAAGGGAACGCAGGCGGUCUUUUAAGUCUGAUGUGAAAGCCUUCGGCUUAACCGGAGUAGUGCAUUGGAAACUGGGAGACUUGAGUGCAGAAGAGGAGAGUGGAACUCCAUGUGUAGCGGUGAAAUGCGUAGAUAUAUGGAAGAACACCAGUGGCGAAAGCGGCUCUCUGGUCUGUAACUGACGCUGAGGUUCGAAAGCGUGGGUAGCAAACAGGAUUAGAUACCCUGGUAGUCCACGCCGUAAACGAUGAAUGCUAAGUGUUGGAGGGUUUCCGCCCUUCA
rnacentral:rRNA from 1 species